UCUUCUCUUAUGUGUCAAACCACUCCUCACCUAUAGGCCCAUCUCUCCUCCUGAUGCUGCCCUCCAGCCUCCACCCAAGAUCCCAUGGUGCGCCUGGUUGCCGCUCCGUCUGGCCGGCCGGGAGGUGCGUGCAAGCUACAUCAUGAAUCAGGAGAGCCGCAUGCCAUCGUCUUCUCAUGGAUCUUCCUCGGCUCCGGCUCUGUCCCUGGCCUCCAAGGCGGAUACAUGGUGGUGGCCUUCCCAUGGUCCAAGGUGGCACGCCCGCAGUUGGCGCUGGAUAGCUCGCUGCCCUGCCGCUCUCCAUCCUAAUCGACUCCCCUCGGUCUUCCCCAACUUCGGCCCCGGCAAUAGGCAUUGCGUGCAUGUCUAUGCCGAGGACACAAAUUUGGGGGUCCAGCUCCUUGUGUGAAUGUGCAAGGAAUUCGGAACCUGCAUCUUUAAUAUGACAUGGUAUAUUUAUUCUUAAUCUCUCCAUUACGUUUUGUGUUCCAUUUUUCUCGAUGGAAGUAAUUGUGGUUUAAUUUCACAUGGUUUUUAAACAAAUAAACACAUGAUGUGCUGAAUAGCUGACAUGCAGAGGAAAUGGUACAGCUUGAUGACUAUUUUACUACUAAAUUAUUCUCAGGUAUUUAUUGUUCCUUUUGUGAUAGUUUUCUCUCUCCUAAAAAUGAAAUGAAUCAUUUUUAAUUCUUUGAACAAGUUUGCCUAAAGUAGGGCGCUCAGCCAUUGAGGCAUUAUCAAUUUCUUUUAGAAGCUUCGCAAAAUCUGCUCUUGUACUAAAGAAAUCUAAUGUAGAUUUGUUAGCCUUAUAGGGUACUAUAUGGUGAACACAUGAUAUUAAAUAUACAGUAAAUUGCACUGUGAAGUGAGUAUGUAUAUACUAUCCACACAGGAUUGCCAUUUUGGAGAUGUUGCUGGGAUCAUCAUGGAUUGGGAUGCAUUCUGAUAAUUAGAUAUUAGGUUAGUAGUAUGGGAGUACCUGUCAAGACUGACUUUUGGAAGUUAUGCUAGCAUCAUCAGUUGGGCUUUCUAUACAAAACUAGACUCAAUAUAAUUUAUUUUGGUGCUUGCGAUGAGUAUUAGACAGAGGGGUGAUGACCACAUAGUUCACCCAGUGUAUCUGUUCAUGUAUGUCAUUAAUUAUCUAAUUAGACAAAAAAACUCUCUCUGCAUGGUGUUUGUGAUGAUGUUGUCAAUUCACUAAACACUAAAAUACCAGGUUGUGAUUUUCAAAUCUAGCA